GGUGGACAUGGAGAGAGGCGAUUUCUGCAGAGAAAAAUAAUAGCUCCGGGGCCUGCCGAGGGACGAGGAGCCCUACUUUGUUUUGUAAUAACGUUUAUUAUUGUUUCUGUUCUCAUCGAUGGGCAUAACUUCUACGCAGCCCCGUGGAGGGUGCGCGCGAGCUUUUUUGCACGCCGCUGGGAACGCGCUGGGUCCGUUGGGAAUCGCGCUGCGUAGACGCCCCCGGCGGCGGGAGAGGAGAGCGAGGCCUGCCCUGCACGGAGCCGCGAGCCAGCGCCGGCCUUCCGGAGGCCCGGGUUUCCGGCCUGCGGGGGGCAGCUGCGACAGAAGGGUCCGGAACAGGGGGACCCGAGACGCGCGCUCCCCGGCCACAGUCACAUCCGGAAAACACUGGGGUGCAACGGACAGGUUCCCAUUGGAAAAGCUCCUGGUGAUGUUUCCGGAGGGCCCUGGGUUUGCUGGUCACCAUGGCAACCUCGGAGCCCCAUCGAACAACAACCGGGCGCCCCGGGGGGACCAGCGCGCAUGUCCUGCGUCCUGAGGCCUGCAAGGCGCUGUCCCUGGGGCUGCGGGCUAUUCGGAGGCCCCCAAAGUAGGUUCCACAGGCGGGGGCAGAAAAAUCCCCUCUUUUUCCAACGGAGGAGAAAGUCGAGAUUUAGUACAAUCUCUGAGAGAGGUUCAGAUCCUGAGGGAAAGCCCUGCCUAGAGUUCAGAGCGCUGACCUGGGGGUGAGGAGGGGGGAGAAGCUGCAUGGGCCUGGGCUGGGCACCUGGGACGCAGGAGUCCCCGCAUCUCUUCACACGGACUGCCCACCCCCAUCCGCCCCCAGGCUCCCCCGUCUGUGUCUGUCCGACCUUGCCUGGAAUAACCUCUCCUAAAGGGACCGAGGAAGGUCCAGGAAGCUGGCGGCAUCCGUGUCUGCGAGGUCUAUUGCGGGAAAGAAUAAAUUGCACUCCAUUUCCUUCUAGA